AGGGCUCUCUCCCCUUUCACUCUUGUCUAGAAACCUUGGACCACUGGACAAAACCCCGAGAGGGAUUGUCAGAAGAUCCUCUGACCAAUCCUGAGGAAAUCUGGUACACUGAUGGAAGCAGCUUUGUCUUGAAUGGAAAAAGAGCUGGGUCAACCAGCUACAACAUGCAGUGCCAGUUCAACAAAGAUAUAAAACUACAGUUGACCACGGAAAAUAUCACACACCCUUGGACACCACUAUAAGGACUCUGAGGAUGGAGACUAGCAAGAGGGGGAGGCCCAAUACCCCUCGCCUCCCCAGUUCAGCAGGAAGUAGCCAGAAAGACCUCGACGCCUCUAUUCCCAAAGAAUUGGGCCUCGUAUCUCUUGAGGGGGGAAUGUUAGGUAGGUAGAAUAGGGAAAAGGAGUCCAAAAUGGCGGUGGCUAAAAGACAAGGAAGGUCCGAGGACCAGAGUGAAGACUUCAGGCAGAACAAACAGAACAAACAGCACUCCUGGCUAAGCCCAAUUUGUACAGGGCAGGCCCAGGUGGAGGAAAAACAUAUAAAAGGAGGAGCCAAAGCGCUUUCUCACGGACUCUCUCUCUCCCGCGUGCAUGUGCGCGCGCUCUCUCUCCCUCUCUCUCUCUC
ensembl:lncRNA